UUGUCCUAUGAGCACUGGUCAGCCAGAAGCAGCUCCUGUGAAAUAAGGAGAUUUGGGUAUAGCUGGUUUGGUCAGUAGUGAUGGGAGAACUCUGUAUGAGAAAGCAUCUGUGGGAAGUCUGAGAGCGAACCUCAGUUUCCUCUGUCUGCAAUAGAGUCCAAAAGAAAGUGUAACCAGUUGACACCCACUGACGAUGCUUUCCCCAGUGUUGCUGCCUGACCCUGUUCUACGUACCUCACUGCUGAACACCCAACCAGCCACGUGUGGUCCUGAGCUGAGAGGUGUGACCAUAAGGUAUCAAAUGCAGACAAAUAAAGCUCUGUUUGAGACUGUGGAUGACAUGAAGUAUGUGUAUAUAUAUGAAUAUAUAUGAGUUUUUUAGAGCAUUGCCUUGGUGAACCUCCCCAGAGAUUAGCUUGAUCUCAAUCUUUUUGUCUCCCCAGUCCGUGUCCACUUUGCAGGUUGGGCCAUGCCUUUGGAGAUGUGGCUCACAUACAUUUUCAGGUUCAUGCAUUUGACAUAAAAGCACGUUUAAUACAGCCAGCAAGGAAACCAAAGGUAGAGACAGGUUUUGUAAUUAUGAAGUAGCUUUUCUCUCUAUGGUGCUUGAGAUAUAAGAUGAUAGGAUUGUGCAGUCAUAAAAAAGGAAUAGCUUUUCAAAAUCAGCUGUGUGGUGACUAGAAAAUAAUCAUUUUUUACAAUAAAUAAAUCAAAAAUCAUGUUUACAGCUCCUGGAGUUUAGAAAUAACAGCUGACAAACGAAAUAAAAUCUUGAUAGUAACAUAUAACGGUGAAAGAAACCACUUUUCAGUUGACCUACUCUAAAAGUCAUUAAGUAGCAAUGUGCUGACAACACAGGAAAAAUAACCUUGCAGAGACUUUUAUUGGCUUUCCUACUGAGCAUCACGUAAUGUCAGAGCCGGUGUAGGGAUUUAAGGCAGCAAUCAUACAGCAUGUCCUUAAUUAUUUCAUAUCGCCAUUAGAUGGGCAGUUUUUGUUGAUCAGUUCAUAGAAUGCCAAACUCAGUGUUCAGCUCAAAAUCUCAGUGCCAGUUACUUUCCUAACGAAAAUUGAUCCUACUGGUGGUUUAAGAUCAAGCCCAUGGCCAUUCUCCCGAGGUAACAAGAUUUUUGAUGUUAAUAGCAGGCACUACAAACUAAAGGCUUUCCUCCCAUAUGCAUUUACUGAAAUUGCCUAUUAUUAAACAUGCUAUAAAACGAGGUGGGUGCUGUAAGCACAAUGUGGCUGGAAGCAGGGAUGUGAGGAGAUGAUGCAUGGAAAUCUCCCCUGUACUUCCUGCAGUUGUUUUCUUUGGUCUCAAGGCCACCCAGCCCUCCGUGCUCCCACUGGGCAGCUCAGCACAGGGCUGCACAGCCCUUGGGCUCCCAAUGGUUUUCUCCAUUGGGAGAAAUAACCCAGAUUGCCUGAUUGGUGUGGAUUUGUAUUUUUUUUCAAAAACUUAAAGUCAUUUUUCCUAUAGGAAUGAGCAAAAAAAAAGUCUCUUUGGUAUGUCUUAAGUGAAUCUGUCUGAGUCACAACUUGUUCUGCAAUAAACCUACUUGUCUUCUCUCUUCAGUUUUAUAGCUGUUGUUAAAGAAUAGAGCCAGGACAGUUCUGUCAGGUGGUGUGAAGCUGUUGGAGAGCAAGAAGAGCACUUUAUUUAAAGAUAAUAAUUUAAAAAGUUUCCUCACAUGUUGUUUUCUUUUCAAAUAUAACUUGAAAUACGCUUGCUACUGUUGGGUUUGUUUUCUUUAAAGGCAGAAAAGAAUCAUUUGAAAAAGUUAAGAUUAUUCCAGCUGCACCCACCCCAAAAAAAAGGGAUUUAUGGAGCAGCUGGACUCUUCUUACGUUCAGAUUCAUUAGCUUGGGGUGAUCUAUGAGCUCUUGCUGAUGACAUGCUGACUGACAUGCUGCACAGCAAGCUGAUUUAGCUGUUAUGCAUUCCUUGCAACUUUCAUUAUCUUCAGAGCUGGGCAUGCCGUGAACAAAGGCACGCAGGUAAAGACAGACCUUUUUGCUGGAGAAGAUUCUUUAAUCUGCUUUAGCAUGUGAAAGCCCCCACUGAGCACUUGGCACAUGGCAAGGAUGUCAGUAAUAACGGAACGCCUGCCUGCAGUAAAUGGAGAAUUAAACCCCUGCAAUCCACUCGCUCUCCAUGACGCACGCCCCGGUAUUUUGUAAUUGCAGCGCAAAUUGCUUUCCGAGGAGAUCGUGUUCAGCUCUCAGCUUCUGCAGUGACACUCCUGAAGAGAUAACCGGCGCAUCCCGAAGAAGCUUCAGCUUGCAUCUGGGUGACAGAUAAGAAAUUUCAUUGGACAGGUUUCCCUCGUGAUAGACAGAAGUAAUAUCUCCGGCAGCAGGAGUGCUCAACCAUGCAUGCAAGCCUGGUGGAGACCUGAGCACGGACAGUGCUAUGAAAGGAGACAGGGCACAGGGUGCUGAUGUUGGUUGCAAACAUAUACAAAACCGACUCUGCUCUGAUGUCUGUGUGAUGGUGAAGAGUUGAAAUGUUGCACUUCAGUGAUUCUCCAGACCAUGCCUAUACUGGGGAAUAAAUUCAGCACUGUUCCAGUGGAAGGAGAACCGAGCAACAGAGAGAGGAACUCUCCUGCUGACAGCAGGCAGCUGGCACGAAGAGCACAGAAAAUCCAACCCUCCCCUCCCAGACUCCCAUGAAAAGAAUAGAGGGCGAUGCGGCCGCUGGAACGGAGCUCUGAAGUACUGCUGCAACGUGCAGAUGGGAAUAUGCCAUCAGCUCCACUACCUUGCUCCACAGAGGGACGCAAUGAAGGAAACCAACCAGUCUGGAGGAUGUGGAACCACUGGGGAACAUCUCCCAGCCUUCUUUCAACUGAAAAAAGUGGAGAAGGAGCACACAGUUCUGGUCAUGGCUUUGGGCUGAGGGGGGACACUGUGGCUCUUGGCUGACAUGCACAAUUAAUUCCUUCCCAAAGAAAAGCAUUCUGUGUUGAGAAAUCCCCCGUUCAGACCCAAUGUCUGGGAGCAAUAUUGUGAGUGUUGAAUCACACAUUGGUUUUGCUUCUCUUUAUUUUUUUUUUCUGUAGCAAUUAAGUUUCCAUUAAAUGGAAGAGGAAAAUGCUAUGUACAAAAUUGAGAUAGAGCACAAAGUCAAGGGUAACAUCAAUUUGCGUACAGUCUUCCAGGAACUCUCAGAAAUUGCCCAUGUGCUAUGGAUAUCCAGAUUCUGUCUCAUUUCUCUUAGUUCCUAGUAAUGUGAUGAUGAGAAAAAAUCAUAAUGUGGUUUUAAGAGGCUUUUAUAGGGCCGAUUUGUUCAGCUGGGGGAAGGAAGCUUGCAAAACCUGGUAGACAAUGUCUGUGAAUAUCUGAUAAUGGAGGCUGCUUUCUGGAGCAAACUCCUGGACGUGAUAACUAUAUCAUAGCUUGUAGUGCAGCUGUAGCUUCAUGUUUUGUGCCAAGAAACCACAGAACCAUAGAAUGGCCUGGGUUGCAAAGGAGCACAGUGCUCAUCCAGCUCCAACCCCCUGCUGUGUGCAGGUCACCAACCAGCAGCCCAGGCUGCCCAGAGCCACAUCCAGCCUGGCCUUGAAUGCCUGCAGGGAUGGGGCAUCCACAGCCUCCUUGGGCAACCUGUGCCAGUGCCUCACCACCCUGUGGCUGAUGAACUUCCUCCUCAUAUCCAACCUCAGCCUCCCCUGUCUCAGUAACUUGCUGAAGCAGAGAUGGCUCAGGAGCUGUUAUGUGCACACAUAUGAGCUUGUACAAGCUCAGAAGAGGAGCAGAGUGUUUAAAAUGUCUAUAGGAAGGAAAGAAGGCUGGGCAAAGUCUUAGGAAGGGAUCAAGCUACUUGCAGACAGGAAUUGACUUUCAAUGAAGCAUUGCAACUCAUUUUUUACAUCGAGUCUUGAGUUUCUGUGUCACCUACACAGCUUCGAAUGGGUCAUCUGUGACUGCUAUCACAUUCUGCAGCAUUUACAGCCUGGGUGGAGGAAUUUACAAAGAAAAUGAGAUGCAGGCAAAAUGAAAACGAAGGAAAUGAACUGUAUAGAAGUGUCAUGUGAAUUGUUUCAGAAAUUUCUUCCAUUUCACUGUGCCUUAUCUAAAAAUUUGUAUCAAAUGGAACCUGUAAGUAUUCAUAUUAUCUCUACUUUCAUCUGACAUGAAGCAGAUUAGCUAACGGUAGCAAAUUUAGUAUGCAGGAAAAUGGAUUUAAAUAACAAAAGUACUCAAAAGCCAUCACAGAAAACAUGCUGAGCACCAUUUUUACAAUCUCUGCUCCAAACCUGACCAUCAGAUAUGUUUGGAAUUGGUCCCACAGAGCUCCCUGCUCGGUGAUGGUGUAACCUGAGUGUGGGGUACAGAUCUGCACAACUGCAGGCUGCUCUCUGCCAGGAGCUGCUUUCACCCACGCUAUCACUGGUGGCUCUUGGUGCCUGCAGAAGCUCUGAGAGUCUUUGACUGAUAGAGGGGAUAAUAGGGAUUUUUAAAAUGCAGUAUGCAGGAUUUGGGCCCUAACUCACUGAUGUGCUGAAGCUGGGACCUCUCUUCCUCCCAAAGUACCAAAACUGUAUUUCAAAGGUGCAACGUGGCCAUCGCUAAGCAAACAUAUUGCUCUCUUCUAAUACCUGAAAGGUGAUUGCAGGGAGAGUGGGGCUGGUCUCUUCUCACUGGUGACAGGAUGAGGGGAAGUGGCCUCAAGUUGUGUCAGGGCAAAUUUAGGUUGGAUAUCAGGAAAAACUUCUUUAUGGAAAGGGUUGUUAAGCACUGGAAUAGGCUGCCCAGGAAAGUGGUUGGGUCACCGUCCCUGGGUGUGUUUAAAAACUGUUUGGAUGUGGUGCUCAGAGCUGUGAUUUAACAGUGGGUUGUUAGGGUAGUAUGGUUAGGUUGUGAUUGGACUUGAUGAUCUUUAAGGUCUGUUCCAACCUGAGCAAUUCUGUGAUUCUAUAUGCCAUCAGAGGGAGGUGCAGCUUUCCUGGGCAAGCACCAUAACUUCCUGCCCACUCCACAUCCCACUCACAUUUGCUCUGUGUUGGAUUUAUUCCUGUUUUCCAGACCAUGGCUGUCACUCUGUGCAUUUUGCUACUGGACACCGCAAGUUUCUCGCAGCAGAACAAGAGUGUAUGUGAACACGUGGAGCAGUGAUUUGCAUUAAUUACUCCCGAAGUGGCUGCUUUUCCUGCUGUGAGAUGCACACAGAUGCAUUCUGCACUCCCAGCAAUGCUGUGGCACUCUUUGAAGAUCCCCCGCUUCCUGUGGCACUGUCAGAUGUGUCAUGUCAGAGGGGAACAGCCCUUCAGAAGCUGCUAUGUUGGAAAGGCAAACAACAUAUGCUGGAAAUGCAAACGUGGUGUUGGAUUUAUUACAAGAGCUGCUGAUGAAAAUUACAUACAGAAUCAUAGAAUGGCUUGGGUUGGAAGGGACCCCAAGGAUCAUCAAGUUCUAACCCCCCUGCUGCUGGCAGGGCUGCCAACCUCUAGAUUUAGAGUGAAUCCCUGUGUAUCACAGGCUUGGUGAUGUUUAUGCAUUGGUGGUGAAAAUGUGAUAUCACCUUUUUUUUAUAGGGACUGAGAAGAUGGAAGCUACCAAGCGACUGAAAUGUCAAUGUUGCUCUGUAGAACUUGUCGUUUCAUUUGGAUUUUGGAGGGAGAAGGAAAAGGUAAUUAAAUGUCAUCUAAACAGAGGAGUGGAAAGCUUUAACAGGGAGAACAGCAUGGUUGCACUGAAAGUAUUGUGUCCAUGCCCUUGUGGAGAAUGAGCUGCUUUUGCAUAGAUGCACCUCACUGUGGAGACUGUGACAUGCUGGCUGCCAGCCGCUGGCCCUGUGAGGCUGCUGCAUGAGGGCCAUGACUUUGCACACCAUGUUUGCACUGCUGCUUUAUUUUGAUGGUGAUUUUGGACUUCACUUACCAAAGAGGUAGAAACUGCAAAAACAAAAUAAACCCCAGUAUUUGGUAUCAUCUUGAAAUUUCAAAGGAUUAGAAGGGGGAAAAUGCCAGUUGUAUUGCUGUGAUCCUUGCGUAGUCAUUUGCUGAGCCUUAGGAUCUCAAGGCUGUAGAAGCAAGGAUGGCUAUAAAGUAGAUUUUCAGACAAGUUUUGCUGUUACUGAAAGCUGUGUUGUACGACAAAUCCAUCUGCAUAAGGAUUCCCCUCCUGGCUGCAUAUGGCAAGUCAAAAAACAAAUUGAAUAGGAGUGCAAUCACCCACCCUACACCACAUCCAGUUAUGCCCUGAACACUCAAGCCCUGGAGGAUUGGAGCUGAAGCUUUUGCUCUGCAUUUCAGCACUCACUGGCCUAAAACAGCAGAGAGAUGCACUGAGGGGUCCUGCAAAAAGCUUCUCCUCUGGAAGCAGUCUGCUUUGAUAGGAGAUAAUGACUGGUUAGUAUAGAUUAAAUCAUUUAGCUUUUGUUUGAAUCAAAAAAGAAUCUGCAUCUCCCUGCUUCUGCCUGAAAGUGCAUGCAAACAGGUGGCAGCGUCCUCUAAUACGAAACUCAGUGUCAGUGCUCUGAAGCAAAGAGCUGCAUAGUCCUCAAGCUGCUGCUUAACUGUUGUUAGUUAGGCUUAAUCUAACUUCAGUCAGUCCAAACAUCAGUCACCAAGUGGUCCUGAGAUGUCAUCACAACCCCCCAUCACCAUAGAGCAACAGAAAUAAAUAACAUGGAGAAAUGUUCCUUGCUCACAUUUUUUCCCCUAAGUAAUACAUAACUUAAAAAAUUGAUUUUUCUUUGAAGGGUAAUAAUUUCCGGGAUAUUACUGUGACACAAACAGGGUUGCUUUAUUGCAGCUGAGAAAAUCCAGAAGCUUAUAGGGUAUGUCUGAUAUAUAGCAUACAUGGUAUACAAAGGGUAGGUAUAUAGGAUAUGGACUUAGUGUCGGGUAAUGCAGCCAGCUGUUGCUGCCUCUCAUUAAUAAUUAGAGACAUAUUAACACUUUCCAAUGGAUGCUUUAAUUGCUUCCUCCCUCGGGAAAACAAAUUUUACAAACCUCAACCUGUUGUUUUCUUGAUACCUUUAAAGACUUCUCAGUAAUGUCAGCUGUGAAUUAUCAUACAUGCAUGCCACACGUGAAAGUCAAACAUAUUGCAGCCCAGCGUUAUGAAGCCCUGUUGAGUAUCUGUUGUGUUACUGUCGUUGUCACAGCUGCUUUUCCCAUGGGAACAUUAAGCUGAGACUGGCUAUAGCACUCCCUGAAUGACAAAAAUGAAGAUAAUGGCCUUGAAAAUGGGAUUUCAGUGUAAUGAGCUGCAGUAAGAGUGAUACAAGAAAUACUUGAGUGCUUGCUGGUGGUCCAGGAGCACUGCUGAGCAGUGGCACCAUGCGCAGUGCAAGCAGUGUCUCUGCAGGAGGAUGACUGGAGAAGAGCUGGGUCAGAAAUCAGCUUAGGUGCUGUAGAACCAUGGAAUGGUGCUGCUGCAAAACUGGUGACCUCAGCCUUCAUGCAUCCCUGGGUGGAGCAAGAUGUGCACGUGGAGAGCCCAGCUGCAGGGCUGCACAGAUCUGCCCUGUGCUGGGAAAAUGAUUCUGCAGAGCCACGAGCAAGGGAUGCUUCAGGUGCGUGCAAAGAAGAUGUGAGGAAGGGUUUGUGUAAAUGCCCAUGCUGUGCCCAACCAUGAGGGAUGCCCCCUUCCCUCCCAGCUGCUGGUAGUGUCACACUCAUCUAAUUUCCUUGCUGAGUGUGUCCAGGGCUGAAUUUCACUCAUGCAGCUCUCUGAGCAGAAGUGCUGUCUGUUUGGCUGUUAAGUGCAGCCUGGCAAAUCUGGUCUCUGAGUAAUUAACGGAGUUUUUGACAAGCUGUGCCAACAGGAAGGCUUUGUAGAUUGGAUGCAAGCACCUUAAGGUCAAAUUCACUUUUGUCCCUGCAACCUUAAUGCUUCCCCAUACAUUUCCAUCCUGUGCAUUGAAUGGAAAAGAUAUCAUGUGAGCAUGUAAUUACAGACUGUAUUAUAGUGCAAUAAUUCCUCCACGAGACAGCUAAAGACUAACUGAGAGCUAAUCUAUCCAAAACCAAUAUCAUAGCUCCAGCACAGGCUGGACUUGGGCCAGAUGGGAGCCGGGAACAGCUUUUGUGACAUUGAUGAAUGCGGUGUAGCUGCCGAUGGAUGAAGAGCAGACAUCUCCUCGUAUCCUUCCAGACCAUUCCAGGGUUCAGUCCUGUGCCACAGUCCUGCCUGAAGGAAGAUGAGUCCAUGGCAUACAACACCUGCAGGGUGCUCUGUACAAUGCCACAAAUCAUGCCAUACCUGUACCUGAUGCACAUGCAUCGCUAUGGGACAAAGUCAGUGGGAAAAAAGCAUCUGGUAAUGAACAAACUAAAGUUAAAACCAGCACUUUCAGUUCCAUCUGAAUCUUCAAGCUACUGGUGGUUUGGCUGAGAUGUCAGCCAUCCCUAACCCAUGGGCUUGCUUUGCAGAGUAAGGAGUGCAGAGCUGGAGCACAGGCAUUGCAGCAGCAGCCAGCCCAUUUGGACUCG